rnacentral:tRNA from 3 species
UUAGUAGUAGUAUAUUGAGUAUGCCUUCCUUCCAAGAAGGUGGUCCAAAUGGUUUGGCUACUAAA